UAAAAACUGGGGGGCAUUUUUUCCUUGGUUUUGGUUAAGGCUUUUAACGAGUGGGUUCGGAAAAAGAAGGGUAAUUGGAUAGGCCGAGUGAGUGUUGGGAAUUGAAAUAGAUGCAGAGAAUGGGAAAUGAACCUUAAAAUGCAAGCAAUGGUGAUGAAGGAUGGAGGGGUGUACUGGGACACGCAAUGCACAGGUUUCGAGGCUUCUGCAAAAGACCAGGCAUACAUUUAGACAAUGAUUUUGGCACAUGCUAAACUCUUGACAAACAUGGC
rnacentral:lncRNA from 1 species